rnacentral:snoRNA from 1 species
CCACUAUGAUGAAAGUUUUCCUGCCAUUCGUAGUUUCCACCAGAGGUUGUGUAACCAAAGAUGGCCCAACUCCUUCCUUGGAUGUCUGAGUGA